rnacentral:lncRNA from 1 species
ACAAAAUUUGGAAUAAGUGGUUUUUUUAUGAUACUCUUUUUCUUGUUUGAAUUCUUCAAAUGAUUUAGAUACAUCCAUCUUUUUUUCCUUGAAUUUGUUUUAAGCAUAUAUAUAUUUUAUUAUGGAUGAUGAUUCAGUCAUUGUAAUAACACUGAAGGAUGAAAGGAUUAAGCUUCCUCCAGUUUUUGUAUGUUUAUUUUUAAUACAUUUUUAUGCCCCACCUAAGAUAGUAGAGG